GGAAUGGGGUAAGUGGUUUUUUUUGUUGUUGUUGUUUUGUUUUUUCCAGGGUUGUGAUCUUUUCUUUUUGGGGGAUCCUAACUGCAUUGAAGGGCUGGUAGCUAUAAAGGCAGCAUCUGAACCUGGGCUGUGUGGUGAGCCCUUAGAAUGGGCCCAAUGGGUUUAAGGAUUGCCUGGGCUCCUCUAAUCAGUGGCGUGAGAUCUGUGCAACAAGUAAUGAACAUCAUGAGCCCAUAUUGGUGCACUGCUUGUAUGCAGGUGGCAGCAGAGCUGCGGUGCUCCCGAGUGCCAUAACGACUGCGCGGAGAUGUGUGGGACUUCAUGGGAACAGCAAGGAGCCAGGAUCUGCAUUUCCUGGAAUGCCCCGGAAGCUCACUUUGCUGACUGGUAAUUGUCUGCCCAGCAGGUAAGGGCAAUGCACAGCCACCAGUGUUUACCCAUUCCAUAGCAUGGCACAACAUGGUGCUCCCAGAGCUCUUAAUUGUACUUCACGGUGCCCGGAAGGCUGCCUGUUCUUUUCUUUCUGUGUUCUCCUUGUUUCUGGCCUUUCACUGUAGUGUUUUCCUUCCCUUUGCCCUCGACGUUCCUUACUGCAUUCUCUUGCCCUCCUGUUUUUGCAUUCCAUGCCACAUUCUCUCGGCCAUUGCCCUUGGCUUUCUUUCCCACAUUCACUUCAGCAUUCAGUUUUGGCGUUCCCUGUCGCGUUCUCUUGCCCUCCUGUUUUGGCAUAUCCUUCCGUGUAGUCUUGGCCAUUGCCCUUUGCAUUUCCAUGCCACAUUCUCUUGGCCUUUGCCUUUGCCUGCGCAUUCCCUUGCCCUCCUGUUUUUGUGUUCUUUGUCACAUUCU